GGGAAUUGGCCGUGUUUGUUGUGUUUCUCUGUUUUUUUGUUUAUUUUAUGACAGUGACGUACGUGUUUUGUUUUAUGAUCAGUAAUUAUAGUGAGUUAUCAAUUCGUUAUAAUUAAAUGUGGUCGAGAGCUUUUGGGAGAUUUGUAAGGUUAGGGACGUGAUUUUCCUCGAGAUAUCAGUGUGGGACAAGAGAUCAAUAAGGAAAACACCACCUCUACCUACCAGUCACGUGGCGUGUUGUCAGAACCUGAUCUGCAUCUUGGGCUGGGGUGAAGCCUUCUUCAAUAAGCAAGCAGUCAGCGGAAAGGAGG